CCGCCCACCGCCCUGAUGACGGGCUGACGACAUCGCGCACGCUCAGUUCUUUCCGUUCUUUGUUCAAGCGGAUCGGCAUCGGGAGGGGUUCCUCGCCCCCAGGGUGGGGAGCCGGGAACGAAUGGUUCUCUGCGGGGCGAAACCUACGAUUUUCUAUUGUUAGACCUGCGGUGAGAAGUUUAUUUGAAGAAAAACCCCAACUGGAAGCAAACCACAGCUGAAGACGAGGGAACAGCAACAAGUGAAUUGGCCCGAGGACUGAGAACAGCAACUGGAGAGACCAACUUUGCAUCAAGAGACUCGGAUUUCCCAGUGAUUCAGUCAGGAGAAAGUUUGUUCACCAGCGCUUGAAUGCCGCCGAUCCUUGAAUGUGGAGGCGGAGAUGCUGGAGAAGACAGCGCCCCACUCGCUACAAGGAGAGCUCGAACACGUGUCCAUGUCCGUGAUCUGAUUGGAUACAUCGCCAUGACGUUCAGAGCACUGUGACGUCUUCACUGGCUCUCAUUUUGGAACGGAUUCAGUCGGCCUUCGCAGAUACACCAACAGCUUCCCACUGGGAAGCGGCUGUUCACCUGCUCCGUGUGUGCGAAGAGACUCAUUCAGUUAACCCACCUUGUGAUGCUCCGGUGAGUUCACAGUAAAUAGAGGCCACAUUUCUGUCCGGAGUGAGCAAAGAGUUUUACUCACUCAUCCCAGCUGCUGCAACACCAGCAAAUUCACAUCAGGGAGGAAGUUC